rnacentral:misc_RNA from 1 species
GAUGAAGAACGCAGCGAAAUGCGAUACGUAAUGUGAAUUGCAGAUUUCAGUGAAUCAUCGAAUCUUUGAACGCACAUUGCGCCCGCCAGUAUUCUGGCGGGCAUGCCUGUUCGAGCGUCAUUUCAACCAUCAAGCCCCAGGCUUGUGUUGGGGACCUGCGGCUGCCGCAGGCCCUGAAAACCAGUGGCGGGCUCGCUAGUCACACCGAGCGUAGUAGCAUACACAUCGCUCAGGGCGUGCUGCGGGUUCCGGCCGUUAAACCCCUUUUUUACCCAAGGUUGACCUCGGAUCAGGUAGGAAGACCCGCUGAACUUAAGCAUAUCAAUAAGCGGAGGA